GAAGAAGGCCUUCGGGUUGUAAAGCUCUUUCGGCCGGAAGAAAUCGUGUUCUCUAACAUAGGACAUGGAUGACGGUACCGGACUAAGAAGCACCGGCUAACUACGUGCC
rnacentral:rRNA from 1 species